AAUAUCAGAUGUCUAGAAGAAAUGAUAAAUAUGCAACAAAUACUUGAAGGAAGAAAAAAUUGAAGUGUUUAUGCAAAGUAAAAUUAAUAGAGAAAAUUGAAUGUACUAAUUUUGUUUUACAUCGAGGCGCAUUCUUGUCCGUUUAUUAUAAUCAAGAGAAAGUGGAAUGCGAUAACAAAUUCCCAGCUCUUUUCAGUCGAUUUUUUCUUCUGUAAUCAGUUAUGAUUCCUUUUGUCAGCUGCCUAGCAGGUUAGCACUUCUGAUGAUCUCACAAACAUUGUAUUUUCAAAUUGCAGGCACUUGUUUAACCAUCUGCUAUUAGUUUAUGCUGUCAAACAUAUGUUCCAUUUCGCAUUUAAAAGGCAGCUGCUUUAGUUUCUGGAAGCAAGAAUCACCGUCGUCUUUCUAAAUACACUCUUCUGAACAGAUGAAGAUGGCUGUUGGUGGGAGAGGGAAGUUUGAAAUGUUGAAGUGCUGCCACGUGGAGGGCAUACCGGCCUGCAGGGAGGGGUUAGUCAUAUUCUGCUUGUUAUUAUAUAUUCGUUUAAUUUACUCGUUGAUUUGAUUAACAUUAAUUAGUGAAUUAAUUAAGAAUAGAACAAGAAAAUUAGGGGUUGUUUGGAAAAUUGGGAUUAAGCCUAGCUAGAGAGAGGUCUAAUACACACGUGGGGAUUGAAUUAGAGAUUUUGCUGUGAUCUAACAUUGAUAGAAGCUUUGUCUUCCUUCCCCCA